AGCUUUGGCGGUGGCAGUAUCAGGCCAAUGGGGUCUUUCUGAGGCGUGAUUAUUACUAAUUGAAAACCUUUCCCAAAACACCACAGUGAUGACUUGAAAUAUAGCACUGGCAAUUUUUGACAGUCUCUAUGGAAA